rnacentral:rRNA from 1 species
GAAAGUAAGCAAGGGCAGACGGUGGAUGCCUUGGCUCUCGGAGGCGACGAAGGACGUGAUAAGCUGCGAAAAGCCCGGGGGAGGCGCAAAUAGCCCUUGAUCCCGGGAUAUCCGAAUGGGGCAACCCGGCAGGCUGAAGGCCUGCCAUCCCGAAAGGGAGGCGAACGUGGGGAACUGAAACAUCUAAGUACCCAUAGGAGGAGAAAAUAAACAAUGAUUCCGUAAGUAGUGGCGAGCGAACACGGAAGAGCCCAAACCCAUGUCGUCUAGGCGACACGGGGGUUGUAGGACCACGACGUGGCAAGAUAGAGUCAAGUGGAACGCCUUGGAAAGGGCGACCGUAGAGGGUGAUAGUCCCGUACACGACUGCCUGCUGAAGCCUAGUGGCAUCCUGAGUAGCGCGGGGCACGAGAAAUCUUGCGUGAAUUAGCGGGGCCCAUCCCGUAAGGCUAAAUACUCCCGAGAGACCGAUAGCGAACCAGUACCGUGAGGGAAAGGUGAAAAGAACCCCGAGCAGGGGAGUGAAAUAGACCCUGAACCCGUCUGCCUACAAGCGGUCGGAGCGUCGUAAUGACGUGACGGCGUGCCUUUUGCAUAAUGAACCUACGAGUUACCUUCCCCGGCAAGGUUAAGUUCUUGAGGAACGGAGCCGAAGCGAAAGCGAGUCUGAACAGGGCGCCAAGUCGGGGGGGGUAGACGCGAAACCGAGUGAUCUACCCUUGGCCAGGUUGAAGGUUGGGUAACACCAACUGGAGGACCGGAUGGGUAAGCGUUGAAAAGCUUUCCAAUGAGCUGAGGGUAGGGGUGAAAGGCUAAUCAAACUCGGAGAUAGCUCGUACUCCCCGAAAUGCAUUUAGGUGCAGCCUCUUUAUAGUAUAUCGUGAGGUAGAGCGACUGAUUGGAUGCGAGGGCUUCACCGCCUAUCAAGUCCAGAUAAACUCCGAAUGCGCGAUAUAUAUUUACAGGGAGUGAGGGCGCGGGUGCUAAGGUCCGUGUCCGAGAGGAGAAGAAUCCAGACCACCGGCUAAGGCCCCCAAAUGAUCGUUAAGUUGAACUAACGAGGUCGGAUCGCAGAGACAGCUAGGAUGUUGGCUUGGAAGCAGCCAUUCAUUUAAAGAGUGCGUAACAGCUCACUAGUCGAGCGAUCUGGCGUGGAUAAUAAUCGGGCAUAAACGAUCUGCCGAAGCCGUGGAUGUCGCAAGACAUGGUAGGGGAGCAUUCCAUGCCGCGUCGAAGAUGAGGGAUGACCCUUGUUGGAGCGCAUGGAAAAGCAAAUGUAGGUAUGAGUAACGAUAAGGGGGGCGAGAAACCCCCCCGCCGAAAGACCAAGGUUUCCUGAUCAACGCUAAUCGGAUCAGGGUGAGUCGGGACCUAAGGCAAAGCCGAACGGCGCCGCCGAUGGAAGAAUGGGUUAAUAUUCCCAUACUGCCUCAUGGAGUGACGUGGAGACGGAGAAGUGACAGUCCUGCCGGCUGACGGAAUAGCCGGUUGAAGGGUGUAGAUAUUGAUUCCCGUAGGCAAAUCCGCGGGGAGAGUCGAACCUGAGAGUAUACGGAGCGCUUGCGCAACGUAAUAUGGACGUAACCAUGCUCCCGAGAAAAUCCGCUAAACUUAUCCAUGCGGCACCCGUACCGUAAACGGACACACGUGGUCGGGUUGAGAAUACUGAGGCGCUCGAGUGAUUCACGGUUAAGGAACUAGGCAAAUUGACCCUGUAACUUCGGGAUAAAGGGUCCUCGUCGUAAGGCGAGGCGCAGAGAAUAGGUCCAGGCAACUGUUUAACAAAAACACAUGGCUGUGCUAAAUGGAAACAUGAUGUAUACAGCCUGACACCUGCCCGGUGCCGGAAGGUUAAGAGGAGAUGUCAUCCGCGAGGAGAAGCGUUGAAUUGAAGCCCCGGUAAACGGCGGCCGUAACUAUAACGGUCCUAAGGUAGCGAAAUUCCUUGUCGGGUAAGUUC